CCGCUGCACUGCCGCCGCAGUCUGACAGAAGAGCGAGCGAAGGUGUAUCAUGACGAGCAACAUGUCGUGUAGCCUACUGGGAAGAAGAUUUGGUGUUGAUGGAGGAGGCAACAUCUUCAAGGCAAAACCUUAGACCUGAUGCAACAUCAUCCAGUGUCAAAAUCACCCUUUAGGAGGCUCUCCAAGGAAGGUGAUUUUCAGGGGAUUGACUGGAAUUCCUGUUUUUUUAUGUUUCCACAACUUCAGACGUGUUAUCUCGUGACAGACUUCAGAUGUCUUUGUGGUGUUUAUCUGUGCUGCUGCAUGACGAAUCAAAUCCUCCUCACUGUAAAAAUAAAUAAAUAAAAUCAUAUACAUGUAUAUAAAAACAAUAAAGCUAAAUUUUCAGCAUCAUUACUCCAGUCUUAAGUGUCACAAUAUAACAAUAUGCUUUUUUUUUUUUUUUUUUUGAUCAACAAACAUUAUUAUUGAUGUUGAAAACAGUUGUGUACAAUUUUUUUCAGGA
ensembl:lncRNA